CAACAAUUUUAAUGAAUCGCAUA
rnacentral:snRNA from 1 species